rnacentral:rRNA from 1 species
CCUACGGGAGGCUGCAGUGGGGGAUAUUGCACAAUGGGCGAAACCCUGAUGCAGCGACGCCGCGUGAGUGAUGAAGUAUUUCGGUAUGUAAAGCUCUAUUAGCAGGGAAGAAAAUGACAGUACUUGACCAAGAAUCCCCGGCCAAUUACGUGCCAGCAGCCCCGGUCAUACGUAGGGGGCAAGCGUUAUCCGGAUUUACUGGGUGUAAAGGGAGCGUAGACGGUUAGGUAAGUCUGGAGUGAAAGCCCGGGGCCCAACCCCGGGAGUGCAUUGGAAACUGGGUGACUGGAGUACAGGAGAGGCAGGCGGAAUUCCUGGUGUAGCGGUGAAAUGCGUAGAUAUCAGGAGGAACACCGGCGGCGAAGGCGGCCUGCUGGACUGAAACUGACGUUGAGGCUCGAAAGCGUGGGGAGCAAACAGGAUUAGAUACCCGAGUAGUC